GAGGGUAUAGCUUAAGUGGUAGAGUGUAUGCUUAGCACGCACAAGGUCCUGGGUUCAAUCCCCAGUAUCUCCU
rfam:Camelus ferus unplaced genomic scaffold scaffold909, whole genome shotgun sequence.